rnacentral:rRNA from 1 species
UACGUAGGGUGCAAGCGUUAAUCGGAAUUACUGGGCGUAAAGCGUGCGCAGGCGGCUUUGCAAGACAGAUGUGAAAUCCCCGGGCUCAACCUGGGAACUGCAUUUGUGACUGCAUGGCUGGAGUGCGGCAGAGGGGAUGGAAUUCCGCGUGUAGCAGUGAAAUGCGUAGAUAUGCGGAGGAACACCGAUGGCGAAGGCAAUCCCCUGGGCCUGCACUGACGCUCAUGCACGAAAGCGUGGGGAGCAAACAGG